UGGCAGGGUCGGGCUGUGGGGGCCUGGCGGAGGGGGGUAUGAAGCUGCUGCGGGUGCCGCUGGGGGCUGCCCUGGGCCUCGUGUUGCUGCUGAGCCCGGUGCAGACGGUGGAGCCCAUCAGCCUCGGGCUGGCGCUGGCUGGCGCCGCCUCAGCGCUCACCGGCCUCAUCUCCUACCCCCGCCUCUACUGCUACUUCAGGGAGUGCUGCCUCCAGCGGGAGGGGGCCCGGGCGGGCGCAGCGCUCCAGGAGGAUUUGGACAAGAAACUGUUUGGCCAGCACCUCGUGAAGAAGGUGAUUGUGAAAGCUGUGAUUGGCUUCUUGAACAAUACAAACCCCAAAAAGCCUCUCACCCUCUCCUUGCAUGGAUGGACUGGUACUGGCAAAAACUUUGUCAGUAAAAUAAUUGCCGAGAGUAUCUAUGAAGGAGGCCUGAACAGCAAUUAUGUCCAUCAAUUUGUGUCCACUUUGCAUUUUCCCCAUGCACAUAGUGUUGGCCACUACAAGGACCAGUUGCAGUCAUGGAUUCGGGGAAACGUGAGCGCCUGUGGCAGGUCAAUCUUUAUAUUUGAUGAAAUGGAUAAAAUGCAUGCAGGGCUCAUUGAUUCCAUCAAACCGUUCUUGGACUAUUACGAGCAGCUUGAUGGAGUGUCCUAUCGGCGAGCCAUCUUCAUCUUUCUCAGCAAUGCGGGGGCUGAAAAGAUAACAGAGGUGGCAUUAGAUUUCUGGAAAAGUGGAAAGAAAAGGGAAACCAUGGAACUCAAAGACCUGGAAGCUGGAGUGUCUCUGUCUGUCUUCAACAAUAAGAAUAUUUGAAAGCUACACGUCCGCAGCAGCAGCAGCAGCAGAGUGCCCCGUGCCAACACCCACAGAUGGGAGAGGAAUAUAUUGCUACAUAUCAGUACUGCAUGGCUCAUUCCACAGAGAACUGGGGCUGGAUAAUAUACAUGGGAUCCCAUGGACCUCACAAGCUCAGAAGUACUCACUGUUCCUGUUAUUGAAAAUCUCAGCGGAUAGCAUAGACUGCAGGUCUGUCAGGGGAAUUUCUUCUCUUCCCUUCUGCCUCCUCCAAUGAUCGAGCGCCACCUCUGUUAUCUUAUCCCCUCCUGCGUUACUAUUAGGAGAGAAAUGAACUGGAUCAUCAGAAUGACCCUCAGCAAAGUAGUAUCUCAGGAACAACACAAAGGGCCAGACUGUGCCCCCUAGAUCCAUGCAUGGAAGGAACCCUAAGUGGGAAGAGGAAGAUGGCCUUGCCAUAGUAGAUGCCAUUGAUAGCCUCGCGAUGACUGAGGUACGGCAUGAUGGAGUCAAUCAGGCCAUGCGGCAUCUGGUCCAUUUCUGAGAAAAUAAAAAGCGACCUCGGACAGACACUGACAUUCCCUCGAAUCCAGUUCUGCAGCUGCUCCUGUGGGGAUGGGCAAGAGGGUCGGUGAGCAAGGGGAGCUGGAAAUCAAGAUUGGAGCUGGAUUAUUUUUUUGUGGGGGAUUCCACCGGUACUCUAUCUUGGAGGUACUAUUAAUGUAAUGCCAACGAUACGUAAAGUUUAAAGUGGCAUCUAGUCUUCCAUGGAAGAGUGAGCAUUUAACAUACAUAUUUGGUGAGACCUCAUCUCCUUCGUGCUCGACCUCCUAAGAAAUAUAUCUUUUUCCCAGUCACAGGCCUCUAGGCUCUAUUGGUGAAACAAGAUCAGCUACAAGCUUCUACAUCAGUUUGCAGGGGGGAAAAAGACAUGAAAAAGAGAUUCAAGAUUCCACUUUCAGAGUGCCUCUCAUCCAUAGAGCUUUACACAACACUUAUCAGCUCAUCCUCACGGUGUACCUCUGAGGUAGACAAGUGUUUUUAGCACAGAAGUCCUGUUUCCAAAUUUCCAGCUUUAACUAGUGCACCACAUGGUCCUCAGCUUAAUAACAAAGUUAAGAUCCAAAAGGGCAUAGUUAAUAUCAUUGUCAGGAGAAGAGCUCGAAAAGGAACUUUCCCACUCAUUAGCAGGCAAAGCUCAAUGAGAGAAAAUCCAUCUGAUCAUUUUUCACACCCCAGGCCUCAUUCUCUGUUGCCCUGCACUUGGAGGUGUAAUUUAUACCUGUGCAAAGUGAGUGUGAAGUGGCUGUGAAAUGCUACCAAUUCAGGAUGGUUGCACUGCACACCCACUUUGCAUGGGUAUGUCAAUGAGUGCACAUGUUGCAAGGCAGUAGAGAGGAUCGGGCUAUAGCUCAUCUCAGGGCUCGUCUACACACGGAGGCAGUGAUAUCGACAUACAGGCGUUUAUACUGGUUGUGACAGGCUGACAAUUCCCUGCAGUAUCCUGAACAAAUCUUAUGGAAUUAAGAAACUUUAUUGAAUUAAAUUAAACCUUAUUGAAUUAGGGUUAAUAUCUUUGGGGUAUAUUAUAUUAAAAAUGCAAUUAAGUGUGUAUUAUUGUGGCUUUGUAUGUACCUUCUCUAGAUGCUAAUGUACUUCCUCUGUUAUCAACCCUUUGAAGCUAUCCCCCAGGAGAGAUGUGCAUAUACUGGUUCCAACUGGAUUCUCCAGGGGCCAACAGACAAAGAAAAAAUUUUGGGAUAAACCAUCUCUGAAGAUGAAGCAAGCAGGUGUCCUUGUGCUGGGAAAUACACAGUGAAAGCAGGGAACUGUUCACAAGGGGGAGAGGGGGGUGUACCUCAACUCAACAGCAGCAACAGCUGGGAGCCUAGAGUGGGUGCCCUUGCUGGCCCACGGAGAGGAAAUACAGGUGCAGUUGCACCAAACUGUGACACUGGUAUAGCUAUUUCUGUAUGGGAAGGGGAAUAGCGAUUCUGGUAUAAGGCACCUGCUUACCGGUAUAACUGCCCACGCCAGGGGUUGUACCAGUGUAAUUAUAUCGGUUUAAAAAAAUCACAUCCUUAUCCAAAAUAGUUCCAGCUGUACAAAAAUUGUGUAUAGGCCGAAGAGUGUUUUAAGCCACUCUGAGGAGUGUACCUCCAACUCUAACCUCUGCUUCAUUGCAUUUGUUUGUAUGAACACCAGAUGGCGCAUCAGCCAAGGUCUUGGAGCUAGACCCAGGAGGCACAGCAGUGGAAAAGCCCCUGCAAAAUGAAUCCCAUGUUUGCAAACGAUGGAAGGAAAAGAGGGGAGUGAACAUAAACAGAGCUGCUGGUUUGUGUUAGAAACGAUUCAGGGGAAUUCCAAGCUGUGCAGCCAUUGGAGCUGCCGAGCCAAGAGCAACAUGGACAGUGUGUCAGGAACCCAAGAACCGUUAUAAAGCAACAGAAUUGCAGCCACUCUCAUCUUUCACAUGGAGAUGCAAGCUUGAACCUAAUUUUAUGCCAGGGCUUGUAGACUCUAUGGACUGAACCUUUGUAUUCAAGAAGAAAGGAGACCCCAUUACAGAGCUCACAGACUUCAGGUGAGGUUUACCCACUCCUGUGGUAGAGGUUGAGCUGGAUCCCAGGGGCUCUGGAGUGGACUGUUUGUCUUGAAUGGCCCUAUUGUAGAAAGUUGUGCAUGCUGCGCUCUCUUGUCAAAUGAGUAGGUCUCAAAGUUUGGGAUCCACAUUUCUCAUCAUCCCACCAGACCUGAGUGGUGUGAACUCACUUCUUGUUUUUGACAUGCAGGGAGGCGGGUGGAGGACUCAUUUCUCUGAGUCUGUGUCUGUCUUUGAGGUCCCUCAGGGCUGAAGCGGGCUGUGACUAUUGAAAUAUAAGCCUGAAAUACAGUCCUAUAUAUUAUAGACCGCACAUUGGAGAAGAAUCAUCUGGGCUUUGCAUAGGAGAGCGCAAAGGGGGAAAAGUCUAUAGACUCUCCUUUCCCAUAGGGGGUGGAAAUAACAUAUUUCCUAUACUGAGAUGGGCUGUGUGCUGCUUAACAUGUGCCAGAGGAGUGUACAAAUGAUUCACAAUUGCAAUACUUCAUGCUGAAAAAGUAGUUAUCAAUAACUCACUGUCAAACAGGGAGGUUGCAUCUAAUGGGUCCCGUGGGGGGUCUGUCCUGAGUCUGGUCCUAUUCAGUAUUUUCAUUAAUGACUUGGAUAAUAGAGGGGAGAGAGCACUUAUCAAAUGUGUGGAUGAUACCAAGCUGGGAGGGCUUGCAAGCACAGUGGAAGACAGGAUUAGAAUUCAAAAUGAUCUUGAUAAAUUGGAGAAUUGGUCUGCAAUCAAUAAGAUGACAUUCAAUAAAGACAAAUGCAAAGUACUGUACUUAGGAAGGAAAAAUCCAAUGCACAAAUAUAAAAUGGGGAACAACUGGCUAGGGAGCAGUACUGCAGAAACUGAUCUGGGAUUUAUAGCGGAUCACAAAUUGAAUCCGAAUCAACAGUGUGGUGCUGUUGCAAAAAAGGUAAAUGCCAUUCUGGGAUGUGUGAACAGGAGUGUCAUAUGUAAGAUAGUAGUUCUGCUCCACUCAGCACUGGUGAGGAAUACUCUGGAGUACUGUGCCCAGUUUUGGCCAUCACACUUUAGUAGAGAAGUGAGCAAAUUGGAGAGAGUCCAGAGGAGAGUAACAACAACGAUAAGAGGUUUGGAAAACAUGACCUAUGAGGAAGGGUUGAAGGAAGUGGGCAUGUUUAGUCUAGAGAAGAGAAGGCUGCAGGGGGACAUGACCACAGUCUUCAAAUAUGUAAAAGGUUGUUAUCAAGAGGAAGGUGAUCAGCUGCUAUCCACCAGACAAGAAGUAAUCAGCUGAGUUUGCAGCAAGGGAGAUUUAGGUUAGAUAUUAGGAAAAACUUCCUAACUCUAAGGAUCGUUGAGUGCUGGAAGGGAGGUUGUGAAAUCCCUGUUAUCGAAAGUUUUUAAGACCAGGUUAAACACCUGUCAGGGCUGGACUAGGUGUACUCAAUCCUGCCUCAGCAUGAGGGGAAGGAGUGGAUGGUCUCUUGAGGUGUCUUCCAGCCCCUCAAUGGUUCUCUGCUGUUAUCCCAUUAGCUCUUACAUGCUAAAUAGGAUCAAGAAGGGUCAGUACUUGUCUGAGACACUUCCCAAGAACCGCCAAGGCAUUGCAGUACUAAUGAUGAUGGCACUCUUUUCUUCUAAUCUGCAUGGAGCUGGUGCCCCAAGACGAUGUUGGAGGGACUGUCUUUUGGCUGUUAACCUGUCCAGUGGUUCUCAUUAAAGAACUCCUGACUUUUUCGCAAAAGUAAAGGUGUUCA